ACAGCAACAACAACAACAACAACAACGGAAAAAGGAUUGAGAAAUCCAAAAGAAGACAUCAGCUGGGACUCGGGGAGACACUUGACCUUGGAUUUGGUUACACUGCUUGUUGCUUUUUGAACCCUCGAGGUUUCAAUUUAAGGAUUAAUUAUAUCUGAGGGUAACUGGAAGGCCAUCACCUGACUGCCAAUUCAUAUGACGAGAUAAACAAGUGCAGUGUUGUUGUUCUGUUAGGUACAUCAGUGGGUUGCGUAACACUGCACAAAUGUGUUAUCAGUGGAGUGUGUUUUGAUACUUCUUUGCCCUUGUAUGACAUCCUGGAUCAAGCGGCCAGAUGGUGUGAUUUAGUUGCAGAAUCAAGAUCAAGUGGGGUCAGUAAACCCAUGAUGGUACAAGCCUUGAGUUCGUCUUUGUGAUCUUUAGAGGCAGGAUGUCUAUUUAAUGGUGAGCUGAGUAACAGCUACCCCAUCAACACCUCAGCUUCCUCUUCAACUCUCCCAGACCUGCCACAGCCUCUUCUCGUCACGAGGCUGCUUUCAAACCACUUCACUCGGUCGCUUGAGGUGUUGGACGAGCCUCCAAAAGUCCCAUUUUUCGGUUUUCUCAUUCAACUGCUGAAAUUCACACCAUCCAACGACAGGCAGUGAACACCGGGAUGUGGUUGUUUCAUGCGGACUGACACUGGACACUCCUCCAGGAGUUCAUACGGUCACACUUUGGUCUAAUGAACGCCGAUAUACUGGAGUCAGACCUUUUUUAUCCCUGAAAGAUAAAUGUCUUUAAUUGCCA